GCCACGUCACUCUUCUUUUUAACGUUAGAAUGGGGCGCAGGUAGUUCAAAGAAAUGGCCACGGAGCCGGGUGUGCGUUUGCUACCGCAGAAACCAAGAACCCUUCCAGAUGGGUGCUAUUUUGGCGUGGAAUUCAAUCACACACUAGGCUGUGCAAUCAAUGAUAGUUGAUUGGGAGAUCUGGCCUUGCGAGUGGGCAGACAGGCCGCACGCAGGACUUGAGCAGCCGACACAGUGAGGGCGGGACUCCUCCAGCAGCAGCCCCUGCCCGCUCCCGCCACCACCCACAGAGAGAACAUACAGUUACUGUAAACCUCCCAGAGAGCUUCGGCUGUUGAUGGACUUUUUGAUGAACUUUGCCUGGUUAAAAAGUUUGUGCCUGAGGUCAGAACAUCUGAUCUUCCUCUGGAUGAGAAAUGGGUGCAGUUGCUAAAGAGCAUCAGAUCAAGAAUUCUGGUGAAGGUUGUCAGUGCAGUGUUUGCCAUCCCAGUAAGCAAUGCUUUCGUGGAGAGAGCGUUUUCACUAAUGGGCAAUGUAUGGACUGACAACAGGAACCGUAUGUUACCUUCCCUUGUUAAAGCAGAGCUUUGUGUCAAAUUAAACUUUGGCAUGAACUGUGCUGAGUUUUUUAAAUAUGUGAAGGAAGAACAAAGGUUGCUUAAAGCUUGUGUUUCAAAUGAGAAGUACAAAUUCUCAACUCAGCCUGUUUAGUUAUUUAACACCAGUUCCUACAGUGAAAGCACCUUGUUCAUUCUUUCUGUUUUUCUUUUAUAAAGAGUAAUACUGUUUAUAAUGUUUAUAAUGGUUGAAAACAUCCCUUGGAUGUCAUCGACUUCUCUUUUGUAAGAGAGAUAAAUGUCUAAAACCAGCUGCAAUUUCAUUGCUUCAGUGGGUCUCUACUCUAGUUGGGACUAGAUUGAUUGGUGAUGUAACCUGCCUUUGUUCUCUUAAAGA